CUGACGGAGCAACGCCGCGUGGGGGAGGAAGGUCUGUGGAUUGUAAACCCCUUUUCUCAGGGAAGAAGUUCUGACGGUACCUGAGGAAUCAGCAUCGGCUAACUCCGUGCCAGCAGCCGCGGUAAGACGGAGGAUGCAAGCGUUAUCCGGAAUUAUUGGGCGUAAAGCGUCCGUAGGCGGUUUAUCAAGUCUGCUGUCAAAGACUGCAGCUCAACUGUGGGCCGGCAGUGGAAACUGAUGAACUGGAGUACGGUAGGGGUAGAGGGAAUUCCCAGUGUAGCGGUGAAAUGCGUAGAUAUUGGGAAGAACACCAGUGGCGAAGGCGCUCUACUGGGCCGUAACUGACGCUGAGGGACGAAAGCUAGGGGAGCGAAAGGGAUUAGAUACCCCUGUAGUCCUAGCUGUAAACGAUGGAUACUAGGUGUUGGGCGUAUCGACCCGUUCAGUACCGUAGUUAACGCGAUAAGUAUCCCGCCUGGGGAGUACGCACGCAAGUGUGAAACUCAAAGGAAUUGACGGGGGCCCGCACAAGCGGUGGAGUAUGUGGUUUAAUUCGAUGCAACGCGAAGAACCUUACCAGGGCUUGACAUCCCGCGAACUUUGGUGAAAGCCGAAGGUGCCUUCGGGAGCGCGGAGACAGGUGGUGCAUGGCUGUCGUCAGCUCGUGUCGUGAGAUGUUGGGUUAAGUCCCGCAACGAGCGCAACCCACGUCCUUAGUUGCCAGCAUUCAGUUGGGCACUCUGGGGAGACUGCCGGGGACAACUCGGAGGAAGGUGUGGAUGACGUCAAGUCAUCAUGCCCCUUACGUUCUGGGCUACACACGUACUACAAUGCUUCGGACAAAGGGCAGCCAGCUAGCGAUAGUGAGCUAAUCCCAUAAACCGAGGCACAGUUCAGAUUGCAGGCUGCAACUCGCCUG
rnacentral:rRNA from 1 species